rnacentral:precursor_RNA from 12 species
CUGAAGAAGUUUAGACAUGGCAAUUGAAUCAGUGCCCAGUGUUUGAAAAAGAAAAGGAAUCCUCUUAGUCCACUUUCCCAAAACUAGGCACCGAUUCCGCUGCCACCGCCACCACACACCUCAC